GAGCUGUAGAAGAGGCACUGAAGACAGGGAAUGGGGCGCUGGGCACCGGACAACGAGGGGUGCGGCCGGGCACCCUGUAUUAACGGACCUUCCCUUGGGCACCUUAAACAUCACUAAUGCACUGUUAGAAUU